GCCCCACGAGGGACGGCGUAGGAGGCGGCGGUGGCCCUGCGGGCGGAGAGCUGGCAGCCAACACGUUCCCCAUGGUAUCUGCGAGGGGAAAGGCAUUGGCCAAUGCGCCAGGGUCAGGGGACAUCAGUAGAGGGUGGAGAGGCAGGGUCCCCGACGGAGGGAGCCCCUGAUCCCGUUCUUGCAUAUCUGUUGGACUCUAUUGCCUGAGGACAAGUGCAAGGUUUCCAGUUGUGCAGGUUUGCCUGCCUCAGACAUCAUAGAUUGGACGUCAUGGUGGAGUCACUAAGAAGUCACAGGUGGAUUGCAAUGGGUGAUAGUUGUCCCUGGUCUGCCUGGAAGUCAGAGUGUCCUAGAUUACUGGUGGAAAGCUCAUGGGUCAAGGGUGAAAGGUCUCAUUAGGUAGCAUAGGUUGGAUCCAAACAUAGCAAUCCUGCCUCAGUUCCCAAAUACUGAGAUUACAGGUUGAAGCCUCUGCUCCUUCCGCUGUUGUCGGCAGAUGAGGAUGCCUGUGCCAGCCACUGCGGUGGCGAUGAUGGCAGCGAUAAUACCUCCAAUGAUGCCACCAGUGGCCCCUGCUCCUGCUGUGCUGGGUGACUCUGUCAGGACAAAGACAGCAUGGGGUCACUAUGGAAAACUCACAGCCGCUUCUGCCAGCCCUGUCCUUCAGAUACUACCUAUGCCAGACUUUUCAAAAUGAUUGUUUUAUGUAUUUGUUGAGACAGGGUCUCACAUUGUAGGCCAGGCUGGCUGGGACUCUCUGUAAACCAGAAUAAACCCAUGCCUCUGCCUUCC
rnacentral:lncRNA from 1 species